rnacentral:rRNA from 1 species
UACGGGGGGGGCAAGCGUUGUUCGGAAUUACUGGGCGUAAAGGGCUCGUAGGCGGCCAACUAAGUCAGACGUGAAAUCCCUCGGCUUAACCGGGGAACUGCGUCUGAUACUGGAUGGCUUGAGAUUGGGAGAGGGAUGCGGAAUUCCAGGUGUAGCGGUGAAAUGCGUAGAUAUCUGGAGGAACACCGGUGGCGAAGGCGGCAUCCCGGACCGGCAUUGACGCUGAGGCGCGAAAGCCAGGGGAGCAAACGGG